rnacentral:rRNA from 1 species
AUUGAACGCUGGCGGCAUGCCUUACACAUGCAAGUCGAACGGCAGCACGGGAGCAAUCCUGGUGGCGAGUGGCGAACGGGUGAGUAAUAUAUCGAAACGUGCCCAGUCGUGGGGAUAACGUAGCGAAAGCUACGCUAAUACCGCAUACGAUCUAUGGAUGAAAGCGGGGGAUCGCAAGACCUCGCGCGAUUGGAGCGGCCGAUAUCAGAUUAGGUAGUUGGUGAGGUAAAGGCUCACCAAGCCGACGAUCUGUAGCUGGUCUGAGAGGACGACCAGCCACACUGGGACUGAGACACGGCCCAGACUCCUACGGGAGGCAGCAGUGGGGAAUUUUGGACAAUGGGCGCAAGCCUGAUCCAGCAAUGCCGCGUGCAGGAUGAAGGCCUUCGGGUUGUU